rnacentral:rRNA from 1 species
GAACGCUGGCGGCGUGCCUAAUACAUGCAAGUCGAACGGUCUUUCUAUGGAAGCUUGCUUCCACUGAGAAGAUAGUGGCGAACGGGUGAGUAACACGUGGGUAACCUGCCCAUAAGAGGGGGGAUAACAUCCGGAAACGGGUGCUAAUACCGCAUAGUUUUCUUGAUCGCAUGAUCGGGAAAGGAAAGACGGCCUUUGUGCUGUCGCUUAUGGAUGGACCCGCGGCGUAUUAGUUAGUUGGUGAGGUAACGGCUCACCAAGACGAUGAUACGUAGCCGACCUGAGAGGGUGAUCGGCCACAUUGGGACUGAGACACGGCCCAAACUCCUACGGGAGGCAGCAGUAGGGAAUCUUCCGCAAUGGACGAAAGUCUGACGGAGCAACGCCGCGUGAGUGAAAGAAGGUUUUCGGAUCGUAAAACUCUGUUGUCAGAGAAGAACAAGUUGGAGAGUAACUGCUCCAGCCUUGACGGUAUCUGACCAGAAAGCCACGGCUAACUACGUGCCAGCCGCCGC